GACACUCGCCGUGGCGGGGGGGCCGUGCCCGGCGGAGGCGGACGGGGCUGCGGCGCGAAGGGCGGCGGGGCGGCCCCGGGCUGCACCCGCGGAGGGACCUUGUCGCGGCCCGCCCGCUUCCUGGUGGCUGCGCUCCGCGUCCCUGGCGGCGUCCGCCAAGACAAAAGGUAAUUAGACGCCUCGUAAUUUGAGCACAGUGGGUGCAGUGCCGUCCUGAGAGGCAGAGAUUUCGGGUGUCAAAAUGCUCCGUCCCCCAGGGAGAGGUUGCCCUCCGGCAGCUCUCCCUCCUUCGGGCGCUCCCCUUGGAGCCCGCUGGCCGCCGCUCACCUGCCGUGGAGCUCUGCGGCCCCGCCGCGCCGGACACAGGACUCGCUUUGCAGGAUGCGUUACGCGGUGUAAAUGCUGGAUAAGGAUGAACUUCUGUUAUAAACCUGUAGAUUUGGGGUUCUAAGGCGACUUUUCUUUCCGUAGUAGAUUUCCUUAUGGGAAAGUCAUGGAUGUAGCUGGUUGCUUCAAUUCCUUUCUAGCAAAAACAAACCCCCAAAUAAAAAAAAAAAAAAAAAAAGUAAAACAGAAAUCCAAAACAAAUAAACAAAAAAAUUCCCCCAAAAAACAACAACAAUAACAACAACAAAAUCACCACAAAACCAAACAACCAACAAGUCUCCUUCCCCCCCUCCCCCCGCACCCCCAAAAAAAAAAAAAAACAAACAAAAAAAAACCAAAAAACCCAAAACAACCCACUGGUUAAAGUUCUGGUAAUAUGCUUUGCUCAAAUGUGUUUAUUUUUCUGUGUCUUAUUUUUCAGAGUUAUCAGGGGAGAAAAGAAGUAAGACAAAAUGUGCUACAUUUAAUGCCUGAUUUUAGCUUCCCCACUGCUUGCCUUCUAUAAAAGGCGGUAUCUCACAGCUGGAAAUUCACAGAAUCCUCCUAUCACAAAAAUGUAGGAAGACAUGGCCAGACGAGUUACCUGAGGUAAUUUCUGUAUCCAAAGAUGGAAUUUAGGAGGUUUCAAAAGUAAUUUUAAACUAGUCAGCUUUGGUUAAAAUUGCUGUUAAGAACUGACAGCACACUGUUUCAUAUGGUCAGCAGAAUCAACUGGGAAUCAAAAAAAUCUGUCAGGGAAUUUGGGUAGACAUUCAUCUGCUGGUUUCCAGGGAGGUCUGUGCUGCUAUAGAAAUGCUCUUACCCCUACCUGGGCUGCCCAGUUUAAAACAUUUGUGCCUACAUCAAGUACACCCACACUUCUGGCCUCAGUUUAGAUAUGGAACUGUCUCUCAACUCAUCCUGGUUGGAGCAAGGCAUUUGGUAGUUUUCACCUCAAUCAACUGUUUGGAUUUAGAACUGUGUGGGUGCCUAAUUUUAACACAGUAUGUUAACUCCUGUGAAAAUGUCCUCAUGGGAUUCUGGUUUGAGGCAGUCUGGAUUUUUUCCAGUCCCUAGUGCAUGUAAAAGUGAAGACCAAGCUGGACAGAAAGAGGACAGGAUAAAUGGUGAGCUGGUAAAUCUGAAUUCCACCCUGUUGCUAUUGCCAGUGCGUCAGAGAGGCUCAUCCCAUGGUGCCUGACAGAAGGACUGCAGGUUUAACUAUGUCUUUUGACAUAGUUAUCCUUUUACCUUGACUGGAGGGAAAUCCUGUCCUCAGCUGAGAAUAUACCAGUACUCUCAGAGAGUAAGUCCUUUUUGUUUAACUUACUGUAUGUGGACAACACAGAGUUUAGAAUAUUACUGGCCAACUGGUCAAGCUGUUCAAAGAAUAGAAUUUGCCUGAUGUCACUGAUAGUAUUAAAUAUUAAACUCUCCACAUGCUCAAUACAGGUGAUACAUUGUGUAGCAUGUUGGCAAUCAAAUCAGGUAUUACUAAGCCUUGAAGAAGUCUCACCCAGCCUUAUAAUUUGUAUUAAUUAUAUCUCUCCAUUAUUAUACCUUAUAUAACCUUUCUUCAUUCGUAGGUAAUCAUGUUCCAUGUAAACAAUUUUACUACUUUUCAGGCCUCCAUACCUACCAUUCCCCAGGUGAUCUGAUACAGGCUCUAGGAAAACAGUGUUUGUUUUGUCUGUGAAUAUCACUGUAAUUUGGUGACACUUUGUUUGCAAGCCUUAGUUCAAUAUUAUCCUUCUUGAUCCAUAUGUGGGGAUUAAUACCUCUUCUGAAAUUGCUACAUUUGCUGUUGUGUGUGUUAUUAAAUAAUUUAGGAUUCUUAAUGUCUUUGUCUCUCUUUAAACAAAAUAAAAUAUUUGUCACAGAUGAACUACCUGUCUUCUUAAAGGUCAUUCUCCCAAUGACUGUUAAGACUGUGGCCUAAAUAUUCUUGUUUUCUUUUUGUCAUAUUUAUCUUUAUUGUUUAUGAAAUGUUACUCCAUGUUACCCAGUUUGUGUUUAUAGUGUAUUAGUAUAAUUAGGCUCUACCUAGUCUAAGAAAAAGUACAACCUAUGCUAUAAACUGACCUUGUAAAACAGGCUUGCAGCCAAUAAUCUGUAUGCUUUUCUUAAGCUAACUUGAUCACCAGAAAUACAUGUUUUCCACCUUACCACUGCUAUAGCAAAGGUAGCUAUCGGCCAACUUUAACUUUCAGUAAUCAAAUAAAUUCUUAUUGUUUUAAUGCA